UACGAUUAACUGUUAUUAGUAGUAAUUUGGCCGUAGUGCAUUAUACAUUGAUUUUAGGAUGUCAUUAUAUAAGCGACUCACGCUACCUACAUCAAUUGAAUCUUGUAAACGAUGAAAGAUGAUAGUAAGUACUUUCGUACAGAAAGACUCUUUUUUAGAGUUGGUGGUAUUGCUCUUGGGGGAAAGGAAGGAUUUGUUUACAUGAUAUAUUCGAGAAUUGUGGUAGUAUCAGUUUUCAUUGUAUAUCCUGUUAUUUGUACUGUCGAUUUAUUGAGAAAAUAUUUUAACGAAUCCGCUACUGACUGGUUCUGCACCCUCGUGUCCUUAAUGGGGAUCAAAUUUGGAUUUGUAAUGCUCUUUAACCCAGGAAAUCUGAUCUAAUCAAUCAAUCUUAUCAUAGGAAGUCACCACUUAAUCUGGUCACCGUAAUAAUUCACGAUACCUCUUAGUCCGUAUUAAUUGAAAACGUCAUCAAGCUCCAGAGAUUUCUGCGAGGUGGAAAAAUUACCCAAGGCAAAGGCAACGCUCUUUGAUAGUACAAUAUUCAUUAUUGUAUUUUUUAUUCGAAGGAGUUUCGAUAAAGCUUUAAGGACGUUUGAAAGGCCAUCGUUUGAUGCCAACGAAUAUCGCGGUGCAUAUGACGAAGAGAAGAAGAUGUUGCGCGAUUGGUUGGCUCUCUCAAUAAAAUUCGUAAGUAACAGUUAAGAAAAUGACGCUUGAUUUUAACCUCACCAAUAAAAAAUUGGGAGGUUAUUGAAAUCACUCCAAAUUUCGAUAUUUAGAUUUCACCGGAUAUGUACGUCGCAUCAAGGUCCCAAAAAAAUGCUUUUUAAAAAAUGUGUGUGCUUACGGAAUGAUUCUUGGUAAACAAGAUUUGUCUGAAAUGUUGUAUCAAUGUUCCCUCUAAUGGUCCUGAAAGCUGAGAAGAUUUUGGUAAAGGAUUGGAAAAUUGGAAAUGUCCUUUUGGCUAUAAUACUUACAUUUAUUAAAUAAAGUAUGAGCAACAAAUUUUUGAUUGGGAGUUUAUAGUUCUUGAUCAAGUCUCAUUUCCUUAACUAUGAGCAGAAACGAUUCCAUUGUACUUAAAUAAUCUUCCAGAUUUACACUUUUACAAUACCAGGUUUAUUAGUUUGCGGUGGCCAAAUCUUCCUCAGCCUUGCAUGGAGAAUUGUCAAAUCCGACCCUAAGGAUUGGUGGUUACCUUGGGGUUCGAUGAGUCUAGUUAAUGUGAAAGAAA